UCUGCAGGUGGUUUCUUAAGUCUACUGUUAAAUCUUGAGGCUCAACCCUCAAAUCUGCAGUAGAAACUAGGAGACUUGAGUAUAGUAGGGGUAGAGGGAAUUUCCAGUGGAGCGGUGAAAUGCGUAGAUAUUGGAAAGAACACCGAUGGCGAAGGCACUCUACUGGGCUAUUACUGACACUCAGAGACGAAAGCGUAGGGGAGCAAAGUG
rnacentral:rRNA from 1 species